ACACUGCUGGGAGGUCAAGCCGAAUAAGAGCACAAAGGCCCUCACCAGGUGCCAUGAUCCCGAACUUCCCAGCCUCCAGAACUAGGGCGCUGGGACAUGGUAUGCUAAGUGAUGCCAUGGGGAUACAGUCAGCAAAAUCCAGACUACGGAAAACUCUACGGGGCGAAUGACUUGGCUUCUUUAACCAAUUCUGUGAGGAAGAAUGAGUAAGUAAGAGAGAAAAACAGAGCAGGAGUGUGCUGGAAUGAGAACAUAUAGACUGAAAAAGUCAAAGAAAUAAUCAACCAACUGAAAUAUGUAGACCUUACUUGGAUACUGGCUGAGCUAAACAAACUGUAAAGUGAAAGAUGGCAUUUGUGAAACAACUGAAAUGUUGAACA